rnacentral:rRNA from 1 species
AUGGGAGUCGUACGCCCCCGGGUUCAAGGGGGCGUGGCGGACGGCUGAGUAACACGUGGCUAACCUACCCUCGGGACGGGGACAACCCCGGGAAACUGGGGAUAAUCCCCGAUAGGAGAAGGGUGCUGGAACGCCCCUUCUCCGAAAGGGCCGCGGGCUACCGCUCGCGGUCGCCCGAGGAUGGGGCUGCGGCCCAUCAGGUAGUUGGCGGGGUAGCGGCCCGCCAAGCCUAUAACGGGUAGGGGCCCUGAUAGGGGGAGCCCCCAGUUGGGCACUGAGACAAGGGCCCAGGCCCUACGGGGCGCACCAGGCGCGAAACGUCCCCAAUGCGCGAAAGCGUGAGGGCGCCACCCCGAGUGCCCCCGAAAGGGGGCUUUUCCCCGCUCUAAAAAGGCGGGGGAAUAAGCGGGGGGCAAGUCUGGUGUCAGCCGCCGCGGUAAUACCAGCUCCGCGAGUGGUUGGGACGUUUACUAGGCCUAAAGCGCCUGUAGCCGGCCCCGUAAGUCCCUCCCUAAAGGCCCGGGCUCAACCCGGGAACCGGGAGGGAUACUGCGGGGCUAGGGGGCGGGAGAGGCGGGGGGUACUCCCGGAGUAGGGGCGAAAUCCGUAGAUACCGGGAGGACCACCAGUGGCGAAGGCGCCCCGCUAGAACGCGCCCGACGGUGAGAGGCGAAAGCCGG